AGCAGCCGCGGUAAUUCCAGCUCCAAUAGCGUAUAUUAAAGUUGUUGCAGUUAAAAAGCUCGUAGUUGAAUUUCGGGAUCAAUAUUUCGGUCAUGCCGUUGGUAUGCACUGUUAUCAUUGAUUUCUCACCUUCUAAAGAACCGUAAUGCCAUUAAUUUGGUGUUACGGGGAAUUAGGACUGUUACCUUGAAAAAUUAGAGUGUUUAAAGCAGGCUCACGCUUGAAUACAUUAGCAUGGAAUAAUGAAAUAGGACAUCCGAUUCUAUUUUGUUGGUUUCUAGGAUCGAUGUAAUGAUUAAUAGGGAUAGUUGGGGGCAUUAGUAUUCAAUUGUCAGAGGUGAAAUUCUUGGAUUUAUUGAAGACUAACUACUGCGAAAGCAUUUGCCAAGGAUGUUUUCAUUAAUCAAGAACGAAAGUUAGGGGAUCGAAGACGAUCAGAUACCGUCGUAGUCUUAAACCAUAAACUAUAGCC
rnacentral:rRNA from 1 species